GACGAACGCUGGCGGCGUGCUUAACACAUGCAAGUCGAACGGAAAGGCCCUGCUUUUGUGGGGUGCUCGAGUGGCGAACGGGUGAGUAACACGUGAGUAACCUGCCCUUGACUUUGGGAUAACUUCAGGAAACUGGGGCUAAUACCGGAUAGGAGCUCCUGCUGCAUGGUGGGGGUUGGAAAGUUUCGGCGGUUGGGGAUGGACUCGCGGCUUAUCAGCUUGUUGGUGGGGUAGUGGCUUACCAAGGCUUUGACGGGUAGCCGGCCUGAGAGGGUGACCGGCCACAUUGGGACUGAGAUACGGCCCAGACUCCUACGGGAGGCAGCAGUGGGGAAUAUUGCACAAUGGGCGGAAGCCUGAUGCAGCAACGCCGCGUGCGGGAUGACGGCCUUCGGGUUGUAAACCGCUUUCGCCUGUGACGAAGCGUGAGUGACGGUAAUGGGUAAAGAAGCACCGGCUAACUACGUGCCAGCAGCCGCGGUGAUACGUAGGGUGCGAGCGUUGUCCGGAUUUAUUGGGCGUAAAGGGCUCGUAGGUGGUUGAUCGCGUCGGAAGUGUAAUCUUGGGGCUUAACCCUGAGCGUGCUUUCGAUACGGGUUGACUUGAGGAAGGUAGGGGAGAAUGGAAUUCCUGGUGGAGCGGUGGAAUGCGCAGAUAUCAGGAGGAACACCAGUGGCGAAGGCGGUUCUCUGGGCCUUUCCUGACGCUGAGGAGCGAAAGCGUGGGGAGCGAACAGGCUUAGAUACCCUGGUAGUCCACGCUGUAAACGGUGGGUACUAGGUGUGGGGUCAUUCCACGGGUUCCGUGCCGUAGCUAACGCUUUAAGUACCCCGCCUGGGGAGUACGGCCGCAAGGCUAAAACUCAAAGGAAUUGACGGGGCCCCGCACAAGCGGCGGAGCAUGCGGAUUAAUUCGAUGCAACGCGUAGAACCUUACCUGGGUUUGACAUGGAUCGGGAGUGCUCAGAGAUGGGUGUGCCUCUUUUGGGGUCGGUUCACAGGUGGUGCAUGCCUGUCGUCAGCUCGUGUCGUGAGAUGUUGGGUUAAGUCCCGCAACGAGCGCAACCCUUGUUCACUGUUGCCAGCACGUUAUGGUGGGGACUCAGUGGAGACCGCCGGGGUCAACUCGGAGGAAGGUGGGGAUGACGUCAAGUCCUCAUGCCCCUUAUGUCCAGGGCUUCACGCACGCUACAAUGGCUGGUACAGAGAGUGGCGAGCCUGUGAGGGUGAGCGAAUCUCGGAAAGCCGGUCUCAGUUCGGAUUGGGGUCUGCAACUCGACCUCAUGAAGUCGGAGUCGCUAGUAAUCGCAGAUCAGCAACGCUGCGGCGAAUAAGUUCCCGGGGCU
rnacentral:rRNA from 1 species